AGCAUUUGUAAUUGCUCUAAACCUACGACGACGCUUCGAACUCGGACCAUUGUAACGGAACUCAAGAGGGAACAACCAGUACCUUCUAAUAAAGAAUCACAACAAGUAGCCUAGAAAGAGAAAUCUACGAUAAUUCAUAGCUACACAAUCCAGCCAACAGUAUCAGCAGCAGGAAAAUUGUUGUCACCUCUUUUGAUAAUUUUAAAAGAGCCAUCCCGGCGGUUGGGGCCAAUUGUAGAAUGAACCAUUUUUCGACCUCCUAAUGUCGUUAUAAGCGUUUCAAAAUCUGGCAAGGCUACAUCAGAACAUUUCAAAGUAUGGCUUCAAGAAGUGUUUUUCCCAAACGUCGGCGAGAAAAGUGUGCUUUUGAUAGAUUCAUGGAGUGGACAUUGUCCCAGUGUUGUCACGGAAAUUACACCACGUACCAAAGAAAUUGUUACAACGAUCAUACCAAAGGGAACGACAGGGAAUAUCCAGCCACUCGAUGUCUUCGGAUUUAGAAUUUGGAAAAAUUAUGUCAAACAUUUUUCAGACAGUGUCAUAUUACUUGAUUAUGAUUUAAGUCUACAUUUACGAAAUAAUAUAAUAAAGCUGCAAUCUCUAGUACAUAAUCAAUUAUCAUCUCCGAGGUACGAAAAUUUAUUUCGAUAUGCCUGAUUCAAAAGUGGGUACAUAGAAGAACGACCUGAGAAUUUCGAAAAUCCCGUUGAAUUUGCUUUUGGUAUAUCAUCUCAAACACGAUGUGAAAUUGAAGACUGCACAAAUGUGGCUGUAGUAAAAUGUUCGUGGUGUAAAAAAUCACUUUGUUUCAAACAUUUCUUCGAAGAACAUCAUUACUGUUCAAAAUAUAAUCCAUAAGUUCAGAAAUGAUCAUUGAAACGAAAAUCUGAAUUGGAAUUUAUUUUUACUACAUGAAGGAUUUUAGCGCCUAUGUAUAUCCUAUAUAUAUAGAUAUAAAUAUAUAUGUUUGUAUACAGCUCAUGUAUUCACGAAAAUAAAAAAUUGUGAAGGUUGCGACCAUGGAAGAUGUAGGAGUACUCAAUUUUUCAUAUAAUUUAAAAAGCCGAUGUAUAUGUAAAUAACAUAUUAUUUAGAAUGUAAGUCG
rnacentral:lncRNA from 1 species